rnacentral:rRNA from 2 species
GAACGCUGGCGGCGUGCCUAAUACAUGCAAGUCGAGCGGACAGAUGGGAGCUUGCUCCCUGAUGUUAGCGGCGGACGGGUGAGUAACACGUGGGGUAACCUGCCCUGUAAGACUGGGAUAACUCCGGGAAACCGGGGCUAAUACCGGAUGCUUGAUUGAACCGCAUGGUUCAAUUAUAAAAGGUGGCUUUUAGCUACCACUUACAGAUGGACCCGCGGCGCAUUAGCUAGUUGGUGAGGUAACGGCUCACCAAGGCGACGAUGCGUAGCCGACCUGAGAGGGUGAUCGGCCACACUGGGACUGAGACACGGCCCAGACUCCUACGGGAGGCAGCAGUAGGGAAUCUUCCGCAAUGGACGAAAGUCUGACGGAGCAACGCCGCGUGAGUGAUGAAGGUUUUCGGAUCGUAAAACUCUGUUGUUAGGGAAGAACAAGUACCGUUCGAAUAGGGCGGUACCUUGACGGUACCUAACCAGAAAGCCACGGCUAACUACGUGCCAGCAGCCGCGGUAAUACGUAGGUGGCAAGCGUUGUCCGGAAUUAUUGGGCGUAAAGCGCGCGCAGGCGGUUUCUUAAGUCUGAUGUGAAAGCCCCCGGCUCAACCGGGGAGGGUCAUUGGAAACUGGGGAACUUGAGUGCAGAAGAGGAGAGUGGAAUUCCACGUGUAGCGGUGAAAUGCGUAGAGAUGUGGAGGAACACCAGUGGCGAAGGCGACUCUCUGGUCUGUAACUGACGCUGAGGCGCGAAAGCGUGGGGAGCGAACAGGAUUAGAUACCCUGGUAGUCCACGCCGUAAACGAUGAGUGCUAAGUGUUAGAGGGUUUCCGCCCUUUAGUGCUGCAGCAAACGCAUUAAGCACUCCGC